GACGAACGCUGGCGGCGUGCUUAACACAUGCAAGUCGAGCGGUAAGGCCCUCUCGGGGGUACACGAGCGGCGAACGGGUGAGUAACACGUGGGUGACCUGCCCUCAGCUCUGGGAUAAGCCUGGGAAACCGGGUCUAAUACCGGAUAUGACUCCAUGACGCAUGUUGUGGGGUGGAAAGCCUUGUGCGGCUGAGGAUGGGCCCGCGGCCUAUCAGCUUGUUGGUGGGGUGANGGCCUACCAAGGCGACGACGGGUAGCCGGCCUGAGAGGGCGACCGGCCACACUGGGACUGAGACACGGCCCAGACUCCUACGGGAGGCAGCAGUGGGGAAUCUUGCGCAAUGGGCGAAAGCCUGACGCAGCGACGCCGCGUGAGGGAU
rnacentral:rRNA from 1 species